rnacentral:sRNA from 1 species
AUGUCGGAGCCGGCAGAAAUAAACAUGCUCAUCGACCAAAAAAUUAAAGACGCUAUGAGCCAGAACCAAAACGAGAGACUGCAGAGCAUCGACAGAUUAAUGUCUAGUCGUUUAGACACGUUUCAGAGAUCCGUUCACGAAACGCAGAGGCAGCUAUCAGAAACUCAAAUGUCUAAAAUCCAGCAGAUGAACACCGAAAAUUACGUUUUCAAGCGAAAGGGAAACGAAGAGCAGUUCAAGGUUAACACAAAAAUCGCCAACAAGAUGAAAGAGGCCAGAAGUAUUCUAACAGAAUCGCAGGACAACAACGAAAGUACAGAGGGCGCGAUGAGGAACAUUUGUGAAGGUUUGGACAUUCUCAAUCAUCGACAAAAAUUGAUUAAGCUCGCGGAUCAGUCCGAGAACGGAUGGAGAACAGUUACCGAGUAUGAAACGCACAACCAAGCAGAUGAUUCGGAAGACGAAAAACGCAUAAUACGAGCAGAAAACAAAGCGUCGAGGAAAAUGAAGAGCGACAAAAAGUUUAAGACACGUACAACUCCUUACAGUGCCCCACAGUCUACUCGAUUCAGCUCAGUUAAUCAACAGAGUACAGUUAACAUUCCUGUGGUGCAUCGACCCGGAAAAUGUUAUGAGUGUGGUUUUUCAGGACAUUGGAGGUCAGACCAUUAUAAACAGGGUUGGCAAACUCAGAAAGAAAAGUCUGAUAAGAUAAGUACUAGAUUAUUUACUAUUUUAGUAAUGAAUUAUCUGUUAAUUUUGGUAGAGAAAAUGCUAUAUUUUCAUGUAAUUCACCUGUAUGUAAAUUAAGAAGUUCAAUUGAUUAUUGGCGUAAUAUUAUUUGCGCUAACGAGACAGUUAUUGAUAUCAUAGAACAUGGAUAUAAAAUACCUUUUCACACAGAGCCAAGUGAGGUAUUUUUGAAUAACAACAAAUCGUCUUUAGAGAAUUCAGAUUUCGUAGAAAAUGAGAUUUUAAAGUUGAUAGAAUUAGGAUGCAUAAAAGAAUUUUCAUGUAAACCUAAAGUAGUCAAUCCGUUGACGGUAGCUAACAAUAAAAACAAAUUAAGAUUAGUUUUAGAUUGUAGACACAUUAACCCACAUCUUCAUAAAUUCAGAUUUAAAUAUAAAGAUGCUAGCGUAGCCAGUCAAAUGUUUAAGAAGGGAGAUUACUGCUUUACUUACGAUUUGAGAUCGGCAUACCAUCAUGUAGAGAUAUUUGAAUCACACAAGACAUAUUUAGGUUUUGCUUGGGUCAAAAAUCGUGAAACAAAAUAUUACGUCUUUAAUGUUUUACCAUUUGGUAUAUCUACUGCUGGUUAUAUAUUCACCAAAGUUGUAAGGUGUAUUGUUAAACAUUUACGAAAUUCAGGUUUGAAAAUUAUCAUGUAUUUAGACGAUGGUUUAGGCGGGGCUGACGAGAUAAGUCAGGCCCAGGAAACUAGCAUAGUUGUUCAGAAAGUACUGAAAGCUUCUGGGUUUUUGAUAGCAGAAGAUAAAUGCAAUUGGACACCUAGCCAAAAUGUGGUAUGGUUGGGUUUGGUAUGGCAAUUUGACAAAGGCAUGGUUUCAGUCACGGAAAGGCGACUUUCCAAAUUGUUAGAUACUUUAAAUAGAAUUAUACACAAAAUAGGUAAAGGAGAAAUACACGUUUCGGCAAGGUUUCUUGCUUCUAUAAUUGUUCAGAUCAUAUCUAUGCAAGGGGCAGUUGGUCCUGUAGUUAGACUACGUACAAGAAGUAUGUACGAAUGCAUUUUGUAUAAAGCAAGCUGGAAUGCUAAUGUUCUGUUGAACAGUAGAUCUCUUGAUGAGAUAAUUUUCUGGAAGGAAAAUAUAGAGAAAAUGAAUGGCAGAGAAUUGCAUAUUGUUGAGCAAUACUCGAGUGUAGUAUACACAGAUGCCUCGGGCAUAGGUUACGGUGGCUAUUUGGUAAAAGCCAUAGACGAAGAGAUUAUGGGUAGUUGGAACGAUGGAGAAAAAUUGAAAAGUUCUACUUGGAGAGAGCUUGAGGCAGUUUAUAGAGUACUGCAGUCUAUAUCUAUGUCAUUAAAAGGUCAAACAGUUAAGUGGCACACAGAUAAUCAGAACGUAGUAAACAUAAUAAAAAAGGGCAGUAAGAAAUCUGAUUUACAAAAUAUUACAAUUAAAAUAGCAAACGUAUGUGAAUCAAAUAGCAUUAAGAUCGUACCAGAGUGGGUACCUAGACAAGAGAACGUUAAAGCAGAUAAAAUUAGCAAAACUAUUGAUUGCGAUGAUUGGGAGAUAGACGAUAUUACAUUUGAAUAUCUUAAUCAGAAUUGGGGUCCACAUACCGUAGAUAGGUUUGCCACUGAUUACAAUGCAAAAUGUAGCAUAUUCAAUACUAAACACUGGUGUCCAGGUACACUGGGUAUCGAUGCUUUCAAUAGACAGUGGGGUAAAGAAAAUAACUGGAUUGUGCCACCACCUUCAGACAUAUCCCGAUGUAUACACAAAAUUAUACAAGAUAAAGCAGAUAGCACUUUAUUUGUUCCUUUAUGGGUUUCAGCACCAUAUUGGCCACUUUUACACAAAGUCUAUGGUAAUGUUGUAGAAUUCGAAUCGUUCAUUAAAGAUAGUAAAAUAUUACCAUCAACAGUUAUCAAAAAAGGCCGAGGUAGAAAUGGUAUGUUCGGAAAAUCAACAGAUUUCAGGAUGUUGGCUAUGAAAAUAAGGUUUUAAUUUAUUUCAUUCUUUCCUACAGGUAUCGGUCUGAAAAGCAGGGUGUUGGAGCAAAUACAAGAUGGAGUGAUUCUUUCGGCUGAUUUUGACGAAUUGGGACGUAAGAUGUCAUCGUAUUUACUGCAGUCCAGGAGUGACAAUACUAACAAUAAAUAUUUUUAUGCUUAUAAACGGUGGGAGAGAUUUAUAUUGAAACAAGGGGGACUAUCUUUGCCAGCAAAGCCUAUACAUGUAGCUUUAUAUUUAACCAAACUGAUAGACACAGGUUCAUCUUAUAGUGUAGUUCAGUCAGCGUUUUACGGUAUAAAAUGGGCACAUACAGUUCAAGGUUUUUCAGAUCCCACAGAAAAUGCUUUUGUGACCAAUUUACUGGAGUCAUCUAAACGUCAACCACAUAAACCGAAAGUUAAAAAGGAACAUAUUGAUUCUGAAUCUAUUAUUGAACUUUGUACAAAAUAUAAAGACAGUGAUGAUAUAGCUAUUUUAAGGGAUUUAUGUAUGAUUGUUCUUAGUUUCUCUGGAUUUCUUAGAUUCAAUGAGCUUAGUUCUCUUCGAUGUAAAGACGUUCAUUUCAAAACUAAUUAUUUAGAGAUUGAUAUUGACAAAAGCAAAACUGAUCAGUAUAGAUUAGGGGAAAAAUUAGUUAUUUCAAAUGGUGAGUCUGCUGCUUGUCCUUAUAAUUUAUUGUCCAAGUAUUUCAGUAUUUGUAAAAUUGAGUCCAGUUCUGAGCAGUAUUUAUUUAAACCUAUUUUUAGAUCAGGCAAACGGUGUUCGCUAAUUUACAAGAACAAAAAACUGAGUUAUACCAGAGCUAGAGAGUGUAUAGUAGCUAGACUCAAAGAAGUUUGUGGUGAUAUAAACAUAGGUUUACAUUCUUUAAGGGCGGGUGGAGCCACUGUCGCAGCUAACGCUGAUGUUAACGAACGCUGCUGGAAACGGCACGGUCGAUGGAAAUCUGAUACUGCCAAAGAUGGGUACGUGGCAGACUCACUUGCACAUCGUUUAGAAGUUACUAAGAAGCUAGGUCUUUAGCAUUUUCAUUUUAUUGUAUAUCAUUUACACUUUUCCGCCCUUUCUUUGUGUUUUCUAGUCUGCACGGCUAAAUGCAAUUUGUGUUUGUUAUUAUUGUAGUGUAG